rnacentral:lncRNA from 1 species
CUCAGAUGAACAGUUCUGUUGGUCUCCCCUGGGCUCACUCAUGCCACAGCAGCCUGCUGGUGGGGUGGCUGGGGGCAGGCUGUCUAGGGUGGCCUCACUCACUGUGUGGCAGUUGGGGCUGGAUAGCAGUUGGUGUAGGGGGCUGGGUGAUGGGUCACGUGUCUACAGCAGGCCAGUGCUGGCUUAUUCACAUGGCAGGACUCACAGGGUUCCCAAGAGCAGAAAGACAGAACACCUCCCAACUGUACAAGGGUUAUGGUCUAUGUCUAGGGCCUUUGCACUUGCCACUUCUCCUGGGAACAUAUUUCCUCCAGAUUUUCCCAUGACAAAUAUCCAGUCUUAAUUUUCCAAGUCUAUAUCAGAGUCAAGGCAGAUGAUGUUGACUGCAAGGAAACAACUCGGCUUCAGGACACUGGGGAAAAGAAGAGAUGCUGCUGUUCUAUUCUCUCAUUUAAUCCUCUCAACAGCCCUAAGAGGUAUGUACUGCUAUUGUUCCCAUUUUAAAGAUGAAACAGUUGGAGCCUGGAGGGGUUAAGGAAAUUGCCUAAGGUUUCACAACUAAUAAAUAGCAGGGCCAAGACACGAAUCCAGGCAGUUUUGGAUCCAGCACCCAAGUACUUAACCAUAGGCUCUCUGCUUCUUGAGAUCCAUUAAAGCUUGUUAGCAGAGGGUCCAGCAUGGUGUAGGUGUUCAAUAAGUAACUGUUAUUUCCCUACUCCUCAAAGACAUUUAACUCCCCAAAUCAAACCCAGGGCCUCUUAGAAGUCAGGUGAGUUAUCUAUCACUGAGCUACACUCCAGUCCUAAUUUUUAGAAUACCCUUUUCUACAAUACCAAUUAUUUUGCCAGAAGUUUG